UACAGAGGGUGCGAGCGUUGUCCGGAAUCACUGGGCGUAAAGGGCGCGUAGGUGGCGGCCCAAGUCCGUGGUGAAAGCUCGAUGCUCAACAUCGAGUCGGCCACGGAUACUGGGUUGCUCGAGCACUGUAGGGGCAGAUGGAAUUCCGGGUGUAGCGGUGGAAUGCGUAGAGAUCCGGAAGAACACCGGUGGCGAAGGCGGUCUGCUGGGCAGUUGCUGACACUGAGGCGCGACAGCGUGGGGAGCAAACAGG
rnacentral:rRNA from 2 species